rnacentral:lncRNA from 1 species
ACAGGAAGGAAAUAUACCGUAGGGAAUAGGGAACCUCUUGAGAAGGUAGAACUCGACAACAGAUAAAGAUGAAGAGAACAUCAUCACAAAUGUUGCUGUGGCACUAGCAACCUGUGGAAAACCACAAAGUAUGUUAUAUUUCUUUCGAUGUUCAAGAAUAAAAAAUUCUUUCAAAGAAUCAAAAAGUAGAUGUUAAAGAACUGACAUAAAAAAAAAAAAAUGCACUUGAAGGGUGUAUUCGUAUUCACAAAUAACAUCUAUCUAAUGUUAUAUUUCUUUUCCCAGUAAACAGAAGUUCAAACCUUAGAAAUUGGAGUUGAAACAGGUGAUCAUACCUGAGGGAUAACACCAAUCUCAAGCAAUAAUGGCCCCAGAACGAAACCUCCUCCUGAGCCCAGGAGACCCCC